rnacentral:rRNA from 1 species
GAUUAACGCUGGCGGCGUGCAUAACACAUGCAAGUCGAACGAAGUGGCGGACGGGUGAGUAACGCGUGAGUAACCUGCCUUAGAGAAGGGGAUAGCCUUUGGAAACGAAGAAUAAUACCCUAUACUCUAGGAUGGACUUGCGUCUGAUUAGUUAGUUGUUGAGGUAACGGCCCACCAAGACAGCGAUCAGGAGCCGGCUGUAGAGAGUGUACGGCCACAUUUGGACUGGGACACGUCCCAGACUCUACGGGGGGCAGCAGUGGGGAUUUUUGCACAAGGGGGGAAACCCUGAUGCAUCGACGCCGCGUGAUUUAGAAGGCCUUCGGGUUGUAAAAAUCUUUUCUAUGGGAAGCAGUACCAUCGGAAUAAGGACCGGCUAAUUACGUGCCAGCCGCCGCGGUAAUAC